rnacentral:lncRNA from 1 species
GGUGGUGCAAGUUUGAUAAUACUUGCAGGACUAAAUUAAAAAUUAAAGAAAAGUUGAAGGUAUUGUACUGUAAUAUUUUGAGCCCCAAAACGUGCAAUUAUCGAAACUAUAUUUUCCUAUAAAUAGAAGCUCAUUCUUCCUUCAUUUCUCACCAAUUCACUAAAGCUUUAGAGCAAUUAUUAUAGAGAGAAAUUAUAGAGAGAAAGAAGAAGAGAAGUCUG